ACCUAAGUAACCUAAAAUUUAAGGUACUAAACUUUUAAUUUAGUCAUGAUCAAUAUUUAUCCUUA
rnacentral:tRNA from 1 species